rnacentral:rRNA from 1 species
UGACUUAUUAAGAAGUUUUAGAAAUCAAUACCCAGCUAUGGAGCAUGUUAUAGGUAUUGAUUUUUCAUUUUUUACAAUAUCAAGUUAAAACCCCAUUUUUGUGCGUUUGACCAUGUGAUUAAUUGCUUAAUUUAGCUGAUGGGUUUUAGAGAUUAUUGAUCGUAUUGCUAAUUUGAAGUGGGUCUGAUUUAUUGCAGUUGUGAAAUUAUUCUGGUGCAUUGUCUAUUUAAUGCUACUUAGUUUUAUAUGCUUGCUCUAGAGAGAGCUAUAAAACUAAGGCUUAAAAGUAGCUUUCGUAGAAAUUUGGUUGUUGUGAAUUGAGCUAGAGAGAGUCAAUCCUAAAAUCCUUUCUACCUAUCUAGCUCCAGAGAGUAGAUGGAAUGAGGUUGUGGGCUGGUUUUCCUAUUUCGCCUGUUAAGGUUCGAGACAACUCACUUGAAGCAAGGUAGUUGUUUGAGAGAAAGCUAUCUCAUGUUUGCUCCAGCCUUCCUACGAUGAUUUAGUAUCCUUGAGUAAUUAACUAGCACCCAUUUAGCAUAAUUGGCAGUUAAUCAGUCAUUCCUCCAAUUAUCUCUAAAUCAUUUUAUUUCUCUUGUUAUUUGUCAUUGUUGUGAUCAUUGAUUAAACUCAAAUUUCCCCUCCUAACAUUGAUGUCACCUUCUUGAUUUAUUUAUGUGAUUCCGAUAAUUUCUAUUCCUACAAUCAAUUGAACCACAUUCACUACUUCAAAAUUGAAUUCAAACUUAUACCACUCCCUGUGGGUUUGACCCCAACUCUUCGUUGGGUUUUAUACUAGUUAACUAUUGUCUACACCUAGAAUCGAAUGAGGUGUAUUUGAGACGUUAAUCAAAGACUAAUCAAACUGCCUAGUAGGUUGUUCCCUCCGAAGUUUCCCUUUGGUUAGUUGAAGUUUGCAUGCAACUUCUAUCGGGUAAAGCCAGUGAUAAGAGGCCUCAGGGAUGCAACGUCCUAGACGUAUUCUGAAACAUUAAACAGGUAGGACGUUGUGUCUGCUUUGUGUAUCCGCACCAUCGAAUCAAAUGCUCCAAGUAGGCCCUUUCUUAGUAAGCAUAACUAGUGAUGCAAGAUUAACCAUAAGAGCAGUAACGAUGUUGAAUUGCACUCUAACCUAGAAUGUGUUGAAUGUGUUGGUUGAUUAAGAUAGCAGGGUUGUCGUCGUGGAAGUAAAAAUAUGUUACUGAGUGUUUAAAAACUCAUGUUCCAAAUAAAAUAGACUAAAAAUAUAAAUGGAGCUUAAGUGUGAAACCUACAACUGAUCAUUAGGGCAAGUUCCAGACCCUUAUGAGUAGGAGGGUACAAUGAUCACUACAAAAAAAACCUUAGAUGCAUCGACCGUCGGCGGAGAUCAUCUGGUUGUAGAAAAUAUUCAAAUAAGAACUUUGAAAGAUGAAAAGGGGAAAGGAACCAUGUGAAAGGAACUUGCCAAUGGGUUAGUCGAUUCUAAGGGUCGGGGUAACCUUGACAAAUAGCACAUCUCAUGCCUACUUUAAAAGGGAUUAAAGUUCAAAUUCAUAAGUUAGGAUGUGGGGAUGAAGGCAACGUUAGGAGGUUCGGAGAUGUGUGUGGGAGUCUCGGGAAGAGUUAUCUUUUUUAUUUAAUAGCCUUCCAACCCUAGAAUCGGCUCAGUCGUCCAAUGGCUUGAAGAGUAUCGCACGACGCACGGUGUUCGGUGCACUCCUGACGACACUUAAAAAUAUAGAGGACCGAAUAUCUUUCAAGCCUUGUUGAACCACAUCAGGUCUCUAAGGUGAACAACUCUUAUCGAUGGAAUGAUGUAGGCAAGGCAAUUCAGGAAAAUAGAUCUAUAACUUCAAGAAAAAUAUUGAUUCUGACGGCUUGGCACGAAACUCCCAAUCCAAAAUCCGCUGGCUGUCAGUUGACUGCUCGAGAGACUCCUAAUAGAGAGUUUGUCGUUGCAUUCCAUUCAGGGUAUGGACUGAGAGUGAUUUCUUAAGGGACCUCUUAUGGGCAUUAAACAACAAUUCAAAACUAGUACAAACAAGAGGAAUCUAACUAUUGAAUUAAAACAAAUUAUUGUGAUGGUCACAAUGGAUGUUUACACAAUGUGAUUUCUGCCUAGUGCUUUGAAUGUCAAAUUAAAGAAAUUCAACCAAGCGCAUGUAAAUAACGAGAGUAACUAUGAAUCACUUGAGAAAGACAUAUGCCUCAUCAAAUAACGAGUGGCACACAUGAAUGGAUUAAUGAUAUUGUCAUUGUCCCUGUCUAAUAUCCCUAGAAACCACAACCAAGGGAUGGACCUGGCAAAAUUAGAAGGGAAAGAAGACAUUGUUCAACUUGAUUCCAGUCUGACGUUGUCAAAUUACUUGAGAGGUGUAGUAUAAGUGGAAUUCAUAAGGUGAAUAUGAAAUACAACUACUUUUAAUAUUAUUUUACUUAUUCCCAAAAUCGAAUGUAGGGUGUUUCCUCUGCUUUUGGACCUAACUCCCAAGGCUUGCUUCACGUGUCAAUCUGGGCAGAAGACAUUUUCAGGUGGUGAGUUUGCCUUGGACGGCAAUUUUGUUUAAAGAUAACGGAUGUGUUCUAUGAUGAGCUCAGUGAGAACAAAAAUCUUGUGUGGAACAUAAGAAUAAAAUCUCGUUUGAUUCUGAUCUCUUAUACUAAUAUCAACCGUGAAAGUGGGAUCUGUUAUUUUACCCUACUGAUGAUAGUGUUGUAAUAGUAAUUCAACCUAGUAUAGAAGGAAUCAUUGAUUCACACAAUUGGUCAUCGCACUUGGUUGAAAAGCUUGUGGUGUGAAGCUAUUGUGGGUUGGGAUAUGACUAAACUCCUCUAAGUCAUAAUCUUGACUAAAGGUAAUGCAUGUGAUAACAAUCAAACUAUUCU